GCGCGUUGUGAGAACUUGAGCCGGUUUUUGAGAGGAGGACCUAGACCGAAGCCACCGUGAGAAAUACAGAAGAUGGACAGUUGCUGUUAAAAAUUUGCCCUCCGGCCUCUUCACGAUGGCCCACCCUGCACUGUAAGUGCUUAGAAACACGGAGGAGGGACGAAGCACUCAGCAGAGUCUAUAUGUCAGCCCCUCAACCAGGGCUGCCACCGUUAUCACAGGAACAGGGUCGGGAGACGAGGCUCCGCAGCGAGGACGCGGAGACUUCACUCACCUGACUCAUGCAGUAGCUGCAGGUGGAGUGUGUUCACUAAAAGGUAGAUCAUAUACUGCGCGUGCUAGGAAACAUUUAGAUGGACCAACUCUCCGUUGCAUGGCAGCAGGCUUUUACUUCACAUCUCCUAACCUCAGCUACUCUGUCUGUGUAAUAGGGAUGAGGAACUCCACGUGCGUUGUGGUAAGAAUUAAGAAAAGGACAUGUGAAAAUAUUUUUAAUUUUAUAGUUUCUGACUUGUAAGAA